CGGAGCGUGGCGCAGCCUGGUAGCGCACCUGAAUGGGGUUCAGGAGGUCCCGCGUUCGAAUCGCGGCGCUCCGACCA
rnacentral:tRNA from 1 species